rnacentral:rRNA from 1 species
UACGUAGGGUGCGAGCGUUGUCCGGAAUUAUUGGGCGUAAAGGGCUCAUAGGCGGUUUGUCGCGUCGGGAGUGAAAACCCCGGGCUUAACUCGGUGCUUGCUUUCGAUACGGGCAGACUUGAGGCAUGCAGGGGAGAACGGAAUUCCUGGUGUAGCGGUGAAAUGCGCAGAUAUCAGGAGGAACACCGGUGGCGAAGGCGGUUCUCUGGGCAUGAUCUGACGCUGAGGAGCGAAAGUGUGGGGAGCGAACAGG